UGCACAUCUUCCUGAAGGCACAACAAAUGU
rnacentral:piRNA from 1 species